UACAGAGGGUGCGAGCGUUAAUCGGAAUUACUGGGCGUAAAGCGUGCGUAGGUGGUUUUGUGCGUCUGUUGUGAAAUCCCCGGGCUUAACCUGGGAAUUGCAUCAGAUACGGCAAGACUAGAAUCGGUCAGAGGGUAGUGGAAUUCCCGGUGUAGCGGUGAAAUGCGUAGAUAUGCGGAGGAACACCGAUGGCGAAGGCAGUCCCCUGGGCCUGUACUGACGCUCAUGCACGAAAGCGUGGGGAGCAAACAGG
rnacentral:rRNA from 1 species